CCGGGGGAAGGGUAACCUGGGGUGGGCAGGUGUGCUUCCCCUCCCUCCUCCUCUGGCUCUUCACGGGAAUCCAGGGUACUCUGGGGGCUUCUGAGAAUGAUGUUGCCUUUGGGGGGCUGACUUUGGGCUUCUUGUUUGAGGUGGUGAGCAGGGUAAGGAAGAUGAGUGAAGGGGUGAGGAAGAGGAAGGAAAUUGGGAAAUAUGGGAUGUGCAAUGCAGAUUUCAUGGUUGGGGACGGAGGAUGUGGGCAGCUGGGAACAGCCCUACCUUGUUCUUCAGAGACAGACAGGUGGGGAAAGGGAAGGGACCAAGUGGAGAGGACCAUCAUUAUCCCCACUUCACAGGUUGCAGCUGGUAGAGGGUGCACUUGGAAUUUGAACCUCAACCUGUCAUAUUCCAAAGCCAAUGCCCUCCACCACCACCCCGGCUUAUCUCCCCAGGGGAAGAGGUUCCUUUCAUAACCCUCCCUGUGCCGGGGGAAUGACCUUGGACAAGACCCUUAUCCUCUCUGUCCCUCUCUGUCCCUGUCAGUAGCAUGGUGCUGGGAGUGCCUGCGUUAUGGGAUUGCUGUGAGUAUGAAAUGAAGUCCAGGCUAGGAUAUUUAAGUGCUCACCAUUAGGAUUUGAUGAUGACCAGACUUUCAUACUGGGCCAGGGGUCUUAGCCUUGAGAGCUUGUGGGUAGGGAAGGAUUCACAGAUGGCAAAACUGAGGCUCCUAGGGACCCUGCUCAGGACCUGAGCACCUGUCCCCUCAGUGACAGGGCUAUAACUUUAAAUCCCUGCCUCCCUCCCAGGCCCCGCUCCAGUCAGUGGUCUCAUUCGUGGCAGCAAACAUUCACUUGCCCAAUUAAUGGGGGAGAAGUCUACCAUGUGUGACCUUAAGAAGGGCCUAGGUUGACAAGAGCAGAAGGGCAUCCGGCUGCUGACAGUGUGAGAAGAGAUGUGGGGAGCAGAGGACCCCAAGGAGUGUGCAGGACCCCCAGUCCAGCUCCAGGGAGUGCACAAGGGAGGCAAGGUUGGAGGAGUGAUUGGAGCCUGAGAGCCAGGCUGAGGGAGAUUCUCAGACGUCAGCAAGGCGUAGAGGUGUCAAAGCUGAGCUCCUGGGAGGCGAACCCGGUGCAUCGCACGGGUGACAUCAUUUUCAGUGUCAACUUUUUGGCUUUGCACUGGGGAUUAUCAAAGGGGGUCCUGUCAACCUCUGUUGUUCUUUAUAUCAGGCCUUUGUUUAUUUCCUUCUUAGCUCUUAUUUGAGGUGGUUUGUAAUAGUUGUA